rnacentral:rRNA from 1 species
GACGAAGGAUGCAAGCGUUAUCCGGAUUCAUUGGGUUUAAAGGGCGCUUAGGCGGACUUGUAAGUCAGUGGUGAAAUCUCUUUGCUAAACAAAGAAACUGCCAUUGAUACUGCAGGUCUAGAGUAUAGAUGACGUUGGCGGAAUAUGACAUGUAGUGGUGAAAUACUUAGAUAUGUCAUAGAACACCGAUUGCGAAUGCAGCUAACGAAACUAUUACUGACGCUGAGGCACGAAAGUGCGGGGAUCAAACAGG